rnacentral:rRNA from 1 species
UCUGGUGGCGAUGGCAAAGUGGACACACCUGUACCCAUCCCGAACACAGAAGUUAAGCACUUUAACGGUGACAAUAGCUGGACUUGCUCCCGUGAAGAUAACUAGCUGCCAGGU